rnacentral:rRNA from 1 species
GAUGAACGCUGGCGGCGUGCCUAAUACAUGCAAGUCGAGCGGACUAAUGGGAGCUUGCUCCCGUUAGUUAGCGGCGGACGGGUGAGUAACACGUGGGCAACCUACCUGUAAGACUGGGAUAACUUCGGGAAACCGGAGCUAAUACCGGAUGACAUAAAGGAACUCCUGUUCCUUUAUUGAAAGAUGGCUUCGGCUAUCACUUACAGAUGGGCCCGCGGCGCAUUAGCUAGUUGGUGAGGUAACGGCUCACCAAGGCGACGAUGCGUAGCCGACCUGAGUGGGUGAUCGGCCACACUGGGACUGAGACACGGCCCAGACUCCUACGGGAGGCAGCAGUAGGGAAUCUUCCGCAAUGGACGAAAGUCUGACGGAGCAACGCCGCGUGAGCGAUGAAGGCCUUCGGGUCGUAAAGCUCUGUUGUUAGGGAAGAAUAAGUGCUAGUUAAAUAAGCUGGCACCUUGACGGUACCUAACCAGAAAGCCACGGCUAACUGCGUGCCAGCCGCCGCGGUAA